rnacentral:rRNA from 1 species
UACGAAGGGGGCUAGCGUUGCUCGGAAUCACUGGGCGUAAAGGGUGCGUAGGCGGGUCUUUAAGUCAGAGGUGAAAUCCUGGAGCUCAACUCCAGAACUGCCUUUGAUACUGAGGAUCUUGAGUUCGGGAGAGGUGAGUGGAACUGCGAGUGUAGAGGUGAAAUUCGUAGAUAUUGGGAAGAACACCGGUGGCGAAGGCGGCUCUCUGGACCGAGACUGACGCUGAGGCGCGAAAGCGUGGGGAGCAAACAGG